GUGAAUCAUCAAAUUUUUGAACGCAAAUUGCACUCUCCUCUAAGAGAAUGCCUGUUUGAGGUUCAGCCUUUAAAAAAUCAACAUCGUUGCUGUUUCCGGGUUGCUUUCGUCGGAAAUUGGGUCGUCUUUAAUCCUUUUGGUUUUAAGAGACUUAAAUUUUUCUUUUUGAUUCCAUGAACUUUUCUAAUUUUUAUUUCUUUACACGUUUAAAGUAUGGAUUUUUUUUAGACGUGACCAUCAUAUCGGAU
rnacentral:misc_RNA from 1 species